rnacentral:rRNA from 1 species
GGGUCAGUAGGUUGGCCCUGCCACCGGUACGUACUGGUCUCACUGAUUCCUCCUUCCUGACGAACCGUAAUGCCAUUAAUUUGGUGUUGCGGGGAAACAGGACUGUUACUUUGAAAAAAUUAGAGUGUAUAAAGCAAGCUAACGCUUGAAUACAUUAGCAUGGAAUAAUGAAAUAGGACGAUCGAUCCUAUUUUGUUGGUUUCUAGGAUUGACGUA